GACGAACGCUGGCGGCGUGCUUAACACAUGCAAGUCGAACGGAAAGGCCCUGCUUUUGUGGGGUGCUCGAGUGGCGAACGGGUGAGUAACACGUGAGUAACCUGCCCUUGACUUUGGGAUAACUUCAGGAAACUGGGGCUAAUACCGGAUAGGAGCUCCUGCUGCAUGGUGGGGGUUGGAAAGUUUCGGCGGUUGGGGAUGGACUCGCGGCUUAUCAGCUUGUUGGUGGGGUAGUGGCUUACCAAGGCUUUGACGGGUAGCCGGCCUGAGAGGGUGACCGGCCACAUUGGGACUGAGAUACGGCCCAGACUCCUACGGGAGGCAGAAGUGGGGAAUAUUGCACAAUGGGCGGAAGCCUGAUGCAGCAACGCCGCGUGCGGGAUGACGGCCUUCGGGUUGUAAACCGCUGUCGCCUGUGACGAAGCGUGAGUGACGGUACUGGGUAAAGAAGCACCGGCUAACUACGUG
rnacentral:rRNA from 1 species